UCUAAAAAAUAAGUAUUAUCAGUGAUAAAUUUCAAAUAAUUAUAUAACAAUUAAUAUUAUAAUUUGCAGUUGAUGGGUAUAUCAUAUUCAGUCCAGAGAGACUUGAUUUUUGUAAAAAGGAAAAGUGAGGUUAAACCCAGAGUUGACAGUCUACAUUUUUGUUGUUGAUAUGUCAUAUAUAUACCAAUUUUAACAAUGGGUCGUUCUGAAUCUGAGGUUUGGAAACAUUUUAAUGUUGUUGCAAGUCCUGAAUGCAAAUACAAGACAGGAAGUUUUAAAUAUUGUGGAAAAAAAUAUGUUUCAAAUGCUGGUAGAAUGAUGAAGCAUCUUGCUCAAGAAUGUCAAAAUUGUGAUGAUGAAAUUUAAACAAAUUUUAUGG